GCUUACGGCCAUACCACCCUGAGAACGCCCGAUCUCGUCCGAUCUCGGAAGCUAAGCAGGGUCGGGCCUGGUUAGUACUUGGAUGGGAGACCGCCUGGGAAUACCAGGUGCUGUAGCUU
rnacentral:rRNA from 1 species